rnacentral:rRNA from 1 species
GACGAACGCUGGCGGCGUGCUUAACACAUGCAAGUCGAACGGUAAGGCCCUUCGGGGUACACGAGUGGCGAACGGGUGAGUAACACGUGGGUGAUCUGCCCUGCACUUCGGGAUAAGCCUGGGAAACUGGGUCUAAUACCGGAUAGGACUCCUGGCUUCAUGGUUGGGGGUGGAAAGCUUUUGCGGUGUGGGAUGGGCCCGCGGCCUAUCAGCUUGUUGGUGGGGUAAUGGCCUACCAAGGCGACGACGGGUAGCUGGCCUGAGAGGGUGACCGGUCGCACUGGGCCUGGGAUACGGCCCAGACUCAUACGGGAGGCAGCAGUGGGGGAUAUUGCACAAUGGGCGCAAGCCUGAUGCAGCGACGCCGCGUGAGGGAUGACGGCCUUCGGGUUGUAAACCUCUUUCAGCUAUGACGAAGCGCAAGUGACGGUAGUAGCAGAAGAAGGACCGGCCAACUACGUGCCAGCCGCCGCCGUAA